rnacentral:rRNA from 1 species
AUUGCACGCUGGCGGCAGGCCUAACACAUGCAAGUCGAGCGGAGCGGCGGACGGGUGCGUAAUGCCUAGGAAUCUGCCUGGUAGUGGGGGAUAACGUCCGGAAACGGGCGCUAAUACCGCAUACUAUCAGAUGAGCCUAGGUCGGAUUAGCUAGUUGGUGGGGUAAAGGCCUACCAAGGCGACGAUCCGUAACUGGGCUGAGAGGCUGAUCAGUCACACUGGAACUGAGACCCGGUCCAGACUCCUACGGGAGGCAGCAGUGGGGAAUAUUUGACAAUGGGCGAAAGCCUGCGCCAGCCAGUCCGCGUGUGUGAGGAAGGUCUUAGGAUUGUAAAGCACUUUGGGUUGGGAGGCGGUACAGACAGAAUAAGCACCGGCUAAAUUCGUGUCAGCAGCCGCGGUAAUAC